UACGAAGGGUGCAAGCGUUACUCGGAAUUACUGGGCGUAAAGCGUGCGUAGGUGGUGAGUUAAGUCUGUCGUGAAAGCCCCGGGCUCAACCUGGGAAUGGCGAUGGAUACUGGCUCGCUAGAGUGCGGUAGAGGAGAGUGGAAUUCCCGGUGUAGCAGUGAAAUGCGUAGAUAUCUGGAGGAACACCGGUGGCGAGGGCGGCAUCCUGGACCAACACUGACGCUGAGGAGCGAAAGCCAGGGGAGCAAACGGG
rnacentral:rRNA from 1 species